GCCUUGACUUUCAUGGGGGUCAGUCCCUCUCUGCUGCAGCAGGGGUGCCCGGGGUUGUUGCCUGUGGGUUCCUGGUAUGGCCAGCGUGGUUGGCUGGAACGCGGUGUGCGUUCCAGCAGGUGGAAGUGACAUCGCGGCCGGGCCGGUGAACCGGAAGUGAUGUAAUUUUAGGCCGCGAGCAUUUGCGGACUGGACGUUCCCCGGCUCUAUUUAAACUGAAUGAUACAGACACUCU